rnacentral:lncRNA from 1 species
UGGAUGGGCGUGGCCUUCUCGAUUUGAGGUCCCGCCUCGGAUGGGCGUGGCCUUCUCGUCCUCAUCCUCUGACGCAGCUGCCAGGUCUCUGUCUGCGUGAGUCCCUGCCCACCCUCCGCCCUGCCUCCUCCUGCCCUUCCUAAGCUCUUCCUCACCCCAGCCCAGCUUUGGGAAUAAAAUGAGGACACUGGGGAAGACCCUCCUCGGAGCCAGGGGUCAGGAUUUGAGGUCCCGCCUCAGCCCUGCCCCGACUGGCGUGGGACAGCGGGCAAGUCCCCGCCCCUCUACCUGGGUCUCCGUUUCCUCCUGUGUCAUUGGACUGAGGUGGUGGCUGGGGUGAUUUCAGGGACAGGAAGGACUUUGAGAGCAGAGAAGUGGGGGAAGGAACGACGUUCUUGGCAGCAGAAAACAUAAACACGCACAGGGAGCGGGGAAAUCACAGCUUGGGGAAUGUCGGGGACGAGGUUUUGAGGACUUAGAAUUGAUCUCCAACAUUUGAGAUCAGGGGCAGGGCUUCUCCUCCCAUGGCGCUUGCAAACACACACACACACACACACACACACACACACACACACGACUUCACAAAUCUGAGUGGUUUGACUUGGCUCAGCUAGAAAAGCAAAUGGAUGACACUGGGUAAUGAGCUAGGGAUUCUGCGCUCCUGCGCUUUUCAUAGAUUAUUGCACUUGGUUCUCGUAGGAACGAUGGGGCAUCCGAACUGUUAUUAACCCCAUUUACAGAUCAGCAAACUGAGGUUCAGAGCAGUGUAGCGACUUGCUCAAGGGCACACCGCCGUAAGUGGCUGGCUGGAACUGAAUUCAGGUCUCUCCCAUAUAAAGCCCAGGCUAAGCAAUAUUUUUCCUGGCUCCAGCCUUCUGAUGGCCUUGGUGCUGCUGAUCUUUGCAUAAUAGCCCCUUCAGAGUUUGCGGCUGGCUUUUUUCCCUCCAUACCUGGCAUGUCUGGGAACUAACUCUCCCCUCCUCCCUGAUAUAGGACCCCAGAGCCAAAGCUCCCUUUAGCAUCUUCUAACCCAGUUGCCUCCUUUACAGGAGAAAAGACAGUGCAUUAGAGCCACCUGCCACACGGACGCACGCAAGGGGCUGAGAUAAUGCUGGUGUCGCUGUUGUUACUUCAGAGGCUAGGAAACUUCUUCAGACCCACUCAGCCUCGAUCGGAGCCAGGGUUAGAUUUGGAGCGAGGAUUAGAAAGGGUCCCUUUUCUCUAGGAAUGAUGGAAUAGAGAAGUGGCUGUAUGUAGUCCUGCAAGUCUGUGGAACCAGUGCCAAGCAAAGCUGACCCAUAGAGCUGCGUCUUUGUGACAGACCUAGGACCAGAAAGCAAUGAGGAGCUGCAGUCAAUCCACUCCAAUCUUAAAAUCCACAAAGACCGUUCAGGGGAUGCAGUCAGGGCUGAAGGGGUGACUCACCUCCAUGACAUGGCAUCCACGCCCCUCCACCCAGUCUGGCUGACUGCUCCCCCGCCCCCACCCCACGCACAUGACACAGGCUGACAAAAGGCAUUAUCCCUGAUUGUAGACGCAGAAGCUGAGGCCCAGGCUGGGCCAGCAGCCUUUCCAGGAUCCCUGGGGGAGGUGGAGGCAGGGGUGGGACACCGAUCCCUCGCCUCUGUUUACCCCUCGCCCUGACUGAGGCAGGAGCUGGGUAGGGGAGGAGAACCCCCUGCCCAGCCUUUCUGGUGCAGCCCCCACAGGUGAAGGGCAGGCCAGGUGGGGUGGGGCUCAGUGUGCAGAGCCCAGAGGCGGCCCUGUGUCAUCACAGGGGACGUUCCAGUUGUGCAGGCUUCCCACGUGGUGACUUUUAUUUCUGCAGCAUCAGCCUUCGCAGGGUCGGGCGUGAUGAGGUGGAAAGGACGGGGGCAUUGGAGGGAGGCAAAUCUGAACUUGAAUCCUGGCACUCCCCCCUGGGCUGUGGGGCUGACCCAGUGGCUUUUUUCUUUGCCUCUCUUUCUUCACCUGUAAAAGCAGGAGGAGGAGGUAUAUUUCACCUUCUCAGGCUGCUCUGUGGAUUCAGUGCCGUGAUGCACAAAUAUGCCCGGUGGACAGUCCAGGCUCGAGAAAUGUUCAUUCUCUUUCCUGUUUCUCAUCCUCUCUCCCCUGAAAGAGAAUUAGUCAGCUCUCAGGAUCUGACUGCAACAGUACAGCAUCCUCAGGGGCAAAGUUCGAACCGCAAGGCAAAUAUUUUCCUUAAGAACCAAUAAGGUCUCUGUACAGUCUAGGCAGACACAUAUAGAUUCACAAGCCAUUAGGAGAUUAAGAGAUCAUCUCUUGAAAUCCUCUAAAAUAGCCACGUCCCCCAACAGUUCCUUCUUUGAGGGCCACCUUUUGAAGUAAAUGGAGUAGCCAGCGGAGAUCCAUCCUUCUACCUGCUGAGUUAACACAGACCUGCUCUAAAACAGCUAAUCUCAAUCCUCAUAGUCUCUGCAGGUUCUGCCAGAUCACCCACCUUUGUCCAUUACCCAUCCAGAUGGAGCAGCCUGGAUCUUCAGGCUUCCCCGAGGAUCACAACGGCUGAUACUUUUGCUCAUUUAAAAAGAGAUGCACUGGAGUUCUCCUGUGCUAUAGCAGGUUAGGGAUCCGGCCUUGUCACUGCAGCAGCUUGGGUUGCUGCAAUGGCACAGUUUUCACCGCUGGCCCAGGAAAUUCCACAUGUGCCGCAGG